rnacentral:rRNA from 1 species
AGCCUGUGAAGGUGUGUCGUGAGGCAUGCUGGAGGUAUCAGAAGUGCGAAUGCUGACAUAAGUAACGAUAAAGCGGGUGAAAAGCCCGCUCGCCGGAAGACCAAGGGUUCCUGUCCAACGUUAAUCGGGGCAGGGUGAGUCGACCCCUAAGGCGAGGCCGAAAGGCGUAGUCGAUGGGAAACGGGUUAAUAUUCCCGUACUUGGUGUUACUGCGAAGGGGGGACGGAGAAGGCUAUGUUGGCCGGGCGACGGUUGUCCCGGUUUAAGCGUGUAGGUGUGUGUUCCAGGUAAAUCCGGUUCACUUUAACACUGAGGCGUGAUGACGAGGCACUACGGUGCUGAAGUAACAAAUGCCCUGCUUCCAGGAAAAGCCUCUAAGCAUCAGGUAACAUCAAAUCGUACCCCAAACCGACACAGGUGGUCAGGUAGAGAAUACCAAGGCGCUUGAGAGAACUCGGGUGAAGGAACUAGGCAAAAUGGUGCCGUAACUUCGGGAGAAGGCACGCUGACACGUAGGUGAAGUGAUUUACUCACGGAGCUGAAGUCAGUCGAAGAUACCAGCUGGCUGCAACUGUUUAUUAAAAACACAGCACUGUGCAAACACGAAAGUGGACGUAUACGGUGUGACGCCUGCCCGGUGCCGGAAGGUUAAUUGAUGGGGUCAGCGCAAGCGAAGCUCCUGAUCGAAGCCCCGGUAAACGGCGGCCGUAACUAUAACGGUCCUAAGGUAGCGAAAUUCCUUGUCGGGUAAGUUCCGACCUGCACGAAUGGCGUAAUGAUGGCCAGGCUGUCUCCACCCGAGACUCAGUGAAAUUGAACUCGCUGUGAAGAUGCAGUGUACCCGCGGCAAGACGGAAAGACCCCGUGAACCUUUACUAUAGCUUGACACUGAACAUUGAGCCUUGAUGUGUAGGAUAGGUGGGAGGCUUUGAAGUGUGGACGCCAGUCUGCAUGGAGCCGACCUUGAAAUACCACCCUUUAAUGUUUGAUGUUCUAACGUGGACCCGUUACCCGGGUUGCGGACAGUGUCUGGUGGGUAGUUUGACUGGGGCGGUCUCCUCCUAAAGAGUAACGGAGGAGCACGAAGGUUGGCUAAUCCUGGUCGGACAUCAGGAGGUUAGUGCAAUGGCAUAAGCCAGCUUGACUGCGAGCGUGACGGCGCGAGCAGGUGCGAAAGCAGGUCAUAGUGAUCCGGUGGUUCUGAAUGGAAGGGCCAUCGCUCAACGGAUAAAAGGUACUCCGGGGAUAACAGGCUGAUACCGCCCAAGAGUUCAUAUCGACGGCGGUGUUUGGCACCUCGAUGUCGGCUCAUCACAUCCUGGGGCUGAAGUAGGUCCCAAGGGUAUGGCUGUUCGCCAUUUAAAGUGGUACGCGAGCUGGGUUUAGAACGUCGUGAGACAGUUCGGUCCCUAUCUGCCGUGGGCGCUGGAGAACUGAGGGGGGCUGCUCCUAGUACGAGAGGACCGGAGUGGACGCAUCACUGGUGUUCGGGUUGUCAUGCCAAUGGCACUGCCCGGUAGCUAAAUGCGGAAGAGAUAAGUGCUGAAAGCAUCUAAGCACGAAACUUGCCCCGAGAUGAGUUCUCCCUGAGACUUUAGGUCUCCUGAAGGAACGUUGAAGACGACGACGUUGAUAGGCCGGGUGUGUAAGCGCAGCGAUGCGUUGAGCUAACCGGUACUAAUGAACCGUGAGGCUUAACCUUACAACGCCG